rnacentral:rRNA from 1 species
GUUUAAACUGUUCGGCCGGUCUUCUGACCGGUUUACUCAGUUUGGACAGGCCAGCAUCAGUUUCGGCGGCCGGAUAAAGGCUCUGGGAAUGUGGCCUUCACUUCGGUGAAGGUGUUAUAGCCCAGGGUGUAAUACGGCCAGCCGGGACUGAGGUCCGCGCUUCGGCUAGGAUGCUGGCGUAAUGGUUGUAAGCGACCCGUCUUGAAACACGGACCAAGGAGUCUAACAUCUAUGCGAGUGUUCGGGUGUCAAACCCCUGCGCGUAAUGAAAGUGAACGGAGGUGGGAACCGCAAGGUGCACCAUCGACCGAUCCUGAUGUCUUCGGAUGGAUUUGAGUAAGAGCAUAGCUGUUGGGACCCGAAAGAUGGUGAACUAUGCCUGAAUAGGGUGAAGCCAGAGGAAACUCUGGUGGAGGCUCGCAGCGGUUCUGACGUGCAAAUCGAUCGUCA